CUAGGAUGUGACUGGGGCCCUUGUCCAGAGGACUGGAUUCAGUUAAGAAAAAGCUGUUACCUCUUCUCCAAAGAUAAAAAGAACUGGCAUGACAGCAAGAAGACUUGUGCAGCUCUGAAGUCCAGUUUGCUGUGGAUAGACAGCGAGGAAGAGGAGUUCCUGGAAGUGGGAGAGUGGCACAGCUUUCUCCAGUCAUAGGCUCACUUUCGUCAAGAUACAAACAGGUGGUAACUGCAUCUAUCAAAGUGGAAAAUAUGUCUUUGAAAGUAACUGUGAGGGUCUCAGGUUGUUCAUUUGCAAACAGAGGACUCACUAGUCUGUCUAUGAAAAACCCCAAUUUUGGAAUUU